rnacentral:rRNA from 1 species
ACCAUGCAGUCGAGCGCACCUUCGGGUGAGCGGCGGACGGGUUAGUAACGCGUGGGAACGUACCCUUUUCUGCGGGAUAGCCUUGGGAAACUGAGAGUAAUACCGCAUACGCCCUUCGGGGGAAAGAUUUAUCGGAGAAGGAUCGGCCCGCGUUAGAUUAGAUAGUUGGUGGGGUAAUGGCCUACCAAGUCUACGAUCUAUAGCUGGUUUUAGAGGAUGAUCAGCAACACUGGGACUGAGACACGGCCCAGACUCCUACGGGAGGCAGCAGUGGGGAAUCUUAGACAAUGGGCGCAAGCCUGAUCUAGCCAUGCCGCGUGUGUGAUGAAGGCCUUAGGGUCGUAAAGCACUUUCGCCAGAGAUGAUAAUGACAGUAUCUGGUAAAGAAACCCCGGCUAACUCCGUGCCAGCAC